GGGGCAGCUCGAGUGAAAUCUUGUAGACGGGAAAAGGAAAUGUUUUUUAGGUGCAAGCGGCAGGAUCUGGCGAGGGACUGAA